rnacentral:lncRNA from 1 species
ACGGAGAGGGCUAGACUACAAUUUGCCUUGGUACGACAGUGCAGAAGCUUGCGUGUGGUGCUGAUUCUGCCAGCACAGCACGAACUGGCUCAUCCCUCAGGAACUAACACACGCGGAGAGCAGCACUUAGGAGGCCCCGCUCAGUUCAUCUUCCACACAGGGCAGAUGAUAAUCAGAGCCGGAGAAGCAGGGAGUGGAGAACGCACUGAACAACCACCGCGAAAUUACCAGAACCCAACCUGUCUUCUCCCUGACACACAGCAGUGCCGAUGUGCUCCACCAGAUGGCAGUAGAUCCCCGCGCUUUCCUCCCUUCUCAUUCUGAGCCGCUGCUGAACAAAUAAAGGUUUUAC